AGAGAAGAUUGCGUGGAUUGCAAGAGUCAUGUCCGUGAGAGAAAAUUCCUAACCUGGAAUUUAAUGACUGGAUAGAGCUGGAUUUUACUGGAAGGAAUAGGCCUUCGGAUUCAGAAUGGACCUAUACCGUCAGCUCUCCUGGGACUCCAGCUUGCAAGUUUGGGGACUUCUUAGCCUCCAUAACUGCAUGAGCCAAUUCAUUGUAAUCUCUCAAUAGACAGAUAAAGAGAUAGAUCUUUUAUUGGUUCUGUCACUCUGGAAAACCUGGACUAAUACACUGCCUUAACAAUUAAAGGAAAUUACUGGCUCAAGCACCAAUUCAGUUAAAGUCGAUUUAGUGUUAUCUGAUUCAAUAGUUACAGAACGUAAUGAAGGACCAGUUUUCGACCUUUUCAAUGCUAUCCUUUUCUGCAGGCAACUUCAUGUUAAAGGGACUACCCUUGUGGUUAGAAAAGUUACCAGUAGCAAUUCAACUUACGUGUUUUCUGUUUCAUUACCAGCAUAUUAAAAUAGAACCUUGCUAUUAACUUGACACUAAAGCAAUGACUACAUCCAGGUGAAUGGCAGGAGGCAAUUGAAUAAAGUCAAUCAGAUGCACAGCUGGAAAUGAAGAUAGUAUCAUCUUCCCUGAAGCUUAUGAGUGGAGUUUGGAAGUUGUACAACCUGAAUGAUAAUCUUGAUAGUAGAUAUGGGAAGGAGAGUUCUAAUUCUGGGUAUGCAACCAACAAUAUCCGCUCUACUUGGGCUUACUUAACAGGGAGGAACCUGUUGACAGGAACAUAGGCAGUAGACACUACCUCUUUAGAGAGCCUGGAACAAGAGAUCUCAGAGUUCAAAAACACUGUACUUCAGGUUAGAAGGUCUUAUACUGAGUUUACGAUUAUAGAUAACAUGCAAUCAACAAAAGUGGUUUCUUCUAUAAAAUAAAAAUAACAUUAUUGUCACAGUUUUGCAAAGAAGUUAUUGGGAUCUUACAAUCAGAUACAUAGAUUUCUUGAUAAGAGACUAAGAAAUCAUGGUUUAAUAAUUACCAUUCAAACUAAAUAUCUACAGUGAACAUGCUUGUGAAUAAGAAGAGGACAGACUCCUUCUUUUACCUACUCUUCCUAAUCUAUUUUACUUUUACUCAUUUAUCUUUUUCCUUUUCAAAUGACAGAGCCCAGAUAAAUGGUAAAUCUGAAAGAAAUUGUUACACCUCUGGAAAUAAUCAAAGACUUAAUGUGUUUUUAUGUAAC
ensembl:lncRNA novel transcript